rnacentral:lncRNA from 1 species
CAAUUCCCAACUCAGUGUAUUGGAUAGUCUUCACCUUCUUCUUCUCCUCCCAAAACUGCGUCCAUCAUCAAAAUUGACAUAACUGAAAUAAGCGAUGCAUCAAGGAGAUUACACUUCCGCUCCAUAUUAUCAAUUCCCUCAUCUCCAAAACCCUAAUUACCCUUCUGAUCCUAUCACAAACCCUUACGCAUCCGCACCCCCUUUCGCCUCCGAUAACGCCCCUUACCCUCAUAAUCCCGAUUAUGCCCCUAUCCCCACCCCACCUUCUCCCACCGCUCCACCGCAAUCUCACCACCCUAAUAGUAAUUUCACACCCUUCAAUUCUUCAUCCCAACCUACCUCAUUCCCUCCCUUUGAAUCUCAUCUCCCAUACCAACCACCACAACCACAACAACUGCCACAUCAGCACCAACAACCCAAUCCAGUGCCACAUCAGCACCUGCAACCACAAUCUUAUUAUCCACCCUACGAUCAGCAGCAUCAGACGGCUCCAAAUUACAACGCUUCACUACAGCCCCAUCUUCCUCCAAACCCUAACCCCAAUAAUCCACUGUACUCGUCCUCAUACUCUGCACCCUACACCCACUCUGGUUCCUUGGAAACCCAGUUCGAGAAUCCGGUGAAAUUUGACCAAGGUGGCGGCUAUUUGGACGAUGGUUACGGGAACUUUAACCGGAGCCGGUCCGAUUUCUAUGGUAAGCAGCCUCAGGACGAGGGCUAUGGUGAUGGAGUGUUUCCUUACGAAGGUGGGAAAGUGGAGCCUUAUGGAGCACGUGGUACUGCUCCGAAAUCGUCGACUUGGGCUGCUUUUGAUGAUUAUGGAAGGUCUAUUAGUUCUCCUUCAGCUGAUAAAAAGCCAUCUACAAUGAGUAAGAUUGUGAAAGCGGUGCCGAAGGUCGAUGCAGCUGAAGAUGUGAAAUCUGGUGUGCAGAAGUUUCGAGUGAGGGUUUUGGCCGAGAAUUUUGAUCAGAGCAAUAUGGAUGUCCUCUGUCAGGUUUGAAUUAAGAUAACUUUAUGUUGCUAGUGUUGAAUUUGUUUCCACAUGCUUACUGAAUGAUAAAUAUGACAUGUGGAUUCUGAAUCAGUGAUUCUGUCAACGCUUAUUCUUUCAGAUUGGUUUAGAUGGAAUUCGUAUGCUGGAUCCACAUACGAAUCGGAUGUUGAGAAUUUAUCCUAUUGAGAACAUAACAAGAUGUGAAGUAAGCUUGUUGAAUUGCUCAGUUACAUUUUGACUAUAUCUUCACAAUUAAUUUUUGUGUCAAUCUCAUUGGGACAUGUCUCAAAUUGAAUUUAUACAGAAAUUUGAUUCAUCUACCUUGGCGCUCUGGUCAAAGAGCUCGGUGGACAUGGAGCCAAGACGAAUCAGAUUGCAAUCCAAUAGUUACACUACCAACUCACUUUUGGAUACAGUGACUGCUGCUACUAUACAGGUAUUAAAGAAUUUUGUACUUCUGUUGUGAUCAGAGUUUUUAGCUGAUGAAUUAGAUUUAUAAGAAUGGAAAUUUUACUUGAUGACAUGAUCUAGUUUUAGUUGCUUGCCUUGUAUGAAUUCAAAUAUGAAAGAAAUGAAAUAAUACGAGAGAAAAUAUAAAUGUUAGAGAAAAAUUACACGAAAAUAAUAUCAUACUUUCCUUAAUACUUUAUCAUUUUCGGGUUUUUUCCAGGUUCGGGAUGAUAUUUUUAUUUUCAACCCAUUGAGUUCAUGUUCGGAUUUUGAAUUUCAGAUUUGAGUUUGGGUAUUUGCAAACCCAAGCCACCCGGUUGCCAUUCCUAUUUCCUCGUAAUGAUAUGUUCUUAACUUCUUAUGAUUGAAUUGAAUAAUUGAUAAUAAAUUGUAAAAAUAUAAUUUAUAACCAAACAGGAAACUUGCGUGUGCGUGAUUAUCUCAAUAUUCCUUAUUUCCUUUCUUCAACAAUUCACCCCAACCAAUUCCCAACUCAGUGUAUUGGAUAGUCUUCACCUUCUUCUUCUCCUCCCAAAACUGCGUCCAUCAUCAAAAUUGACAUAACUGAAAUAAGCGAUGCAUCAAGGAGAUUACACUUCCGCUCCAUAUUAUCAAUUCCCUCAUCUCCAAAACCCUAAUUACCCUUCUGAUCCUAUCACAAACCCUUACGCAUCCGCACCCCCUUUCGCCUCCGAUAACGCCCCUUACCCUCAUAAUCCCGAUUAUGCCCCUAUCCCCACCCCACCUUCUCCCACCGCUCCACCGCAAUCUCACCACCCUAAUAGUAAUUUCACACCCUUCAAUUCUUCAUCCCAACCUACCUCAUUCCCUCCCUUUGAAUCUCAUCUCCCAUACCAACCACCACAACCACAACAACUGCCACAUCAGCACCAACAACCCAAUCCAGUGCCACAUCAGCACCUGCAACCACAAUCUUAUUAUCCACCCUACGAUCAGCAGCAUCAGACGGCUCCAAAUUACAACGCUUCACUACAGCCCCAUCUUCCUCCAAACCCUAACCC